UGAUAUCGUUAGCUGAGACGCUAGUUGAUGUCGUCAUCACGCAGCAGGCACGUAAUGAUAAAAUCGUCAACAACAGAUUCAGGAGCGGGCAUGGCUUUUUGCAAUCGGUAUACCAGACCACGUGAUAGACAAUACCACCUCCAGAGAAGAACAGAUAUAGCCCUUGGUUCACUCCAGACCUGACUGCCCUCGACCAGCACAAAAACAUCCUGUGGCUGACUGCAAUAGCGUCGAAUAGUCCCCGCGAUAUGCAACUGUUCAGGGAAGUCAGGAACCAAUACACACAGUCAGUCAGGAAAGCAAAGGCUAGCUUUUUCAAAUUGAAAUUUGCAUCCUGUAGCUCUAACUCCAAAUCUUGGGACACUGUAAGGUCCAUGGAGAACAAGAGCCCCUCCUCCCAGCUGCCCACUGCACUGAGGCUAGGUAACACUGUCACCACCGAUAAAUAAACCACAGAGAAUUUCAAUAACCAUUUCCCUAAGGCUGGCCAUGCUUUCCUCCUGGCUACCCCAACCCCGGCCAACAGCUCCGCAGCCCCCGCAGCUACUUUCCCAAGCCUCCCCAGCUUCUCCUUCACCCAAAUCCAGACAGCAGAUGUACUGAAAGAGCUGCAAAACCUGGACCCGUACAAAUCAGCUGGGCUAGACAAUCUGGACCCUCUCUUUCUAAAAUUAUCCGCCGCCAUUGUUGCAACCCAUAUUACCAGUCUGUUCAACCUCUCUUUCGUAUCGUCCGAGAUCCCUAAAGAUUGGAAAGCUGUCACGGUCAUCCCCCUCUUCAAAGGGUGUGACACCCUAGACCCAAACUGUUAUAGACCUAUAUCCAUCCUACCCUGCCUUUCUAAAGUCUUCGAAAGCCAAUUUAACAAACAGAUCACCGACCAUUUUGAAUCCCACCGUACCUUCUCCGCUGUGCAAUCCGGUGUCCGAGCUGGUCACGGGUGCACCUCAGCCACGCUCAAGGUACUAAACGAUAAAAGAUUGUACUGUGCAGCCAUCUUCAUCGACCUGGCCAAGGCUUUCGACUGUGAAUCACCGUAUUCUUAUCUGCAGACUCAACAGCCUUGGUUUCUCAAAUGACUGCCUCGCCUGGUUCACCAACUACUUCUCAGACAGAGUUCAGUGUGUCAAAUCGGAGGGCCUGUUGUCCGGACCUCUGGCAGUCUCUAUGGGGGUGCCACAGGGUUCAAUUCUCGGGCCGACUCUGUUCUCUGUAUAUACAGUGGGGAGAACAAGUAUUUGAUACACUGCCGAUUUUGCAGGUUUUCCUACUUACAAAGCAUGUAGAGGUCUGUAUUUUUUUUCAUAGGUACACUUCAACUGUGAGAGACGGAAUCUAAAACAAAAAUCCAGAAAAUCACAUUGUAUGAUUUUGAAGUAAUUCAUUUGCAUUUUAUUGCAUGACAUAAGUAUUUGAUCACCUACCAACCAGUAAGAAUUCCGGCUCUCACAGACCUGUUAGUUUUUCUUUAAGAAGCCCUCCUGUUCUACUCUGGAUGGUUCUGACUUAGAAUAUGGGGACAACUACAAAUACCUAGGUGUCUGGCUAGACUGUAAACUCUCCUUCCAGACUCAUAUUAAACAUCUCCAAUCCAAAAUUAAAUCUAGAUUGGCUUUCUAUUGUGCAACAAAGCCUCCUUCACUCACGCCGCCAAACAUUCCCUGGUAAAACUGACUAUCCUACCGAUCCUCGACUUCGGCAAUGUCAUUUACAAAAUAGCCUCCAACACUCUACUCAACAAGUAGAAAGAGGAGGAAGGGAAGCGCUACUAAGGUACACUAUAGUAUAUUUUGGUAGAUAGAAGGUCCUCUUUGGUAAAAGGUGUAAAUAGGUCAUCAAAAAGAAAGGAGGACCAAGGCACUCUUCAUAUAAUAAAUUAAAAUGCCUUUAUUAGUAUGGCAUGUUCAAUAGAAACAAAGUUGUUUAAAAACCGACGCGUUUCGGCUGCAUGGCCUUCAUCAGGGAGUACAGGAACUCAACUCAACAAACUGGAAGCAGUCUAUCACAGUGCCAUCCGCUUUGGCUUCCUUUCCUUCCAGUUCUCUGCUCCCAAUGACUGGAACGAAUUGCAAAAAUCGCUGAAGCUGGUGACUUAUAUUUCCCUCACUAACUUUAAACAUCAGCUAUCCGAGCAGCUAACCGAUCGCUGCAGCUGUACAUAGCCCAUCUGUAAAUAGCCCAUCCAAUCUACCUACCUCAUCCCCAUAUUGUUUUUAUUUAAUUUUCUGCUCUUUUGCACACCAGUAUUUCUACUUCCACAUCAUCAUCUGCACAUCUAUCACUCCAGUGUUAAUUUGCUAAAUUGUAAUUACUUGCUACUAUUGCCUAUUUAUUGCCUUACCUCCUCACGCCAUUUGCACACACUGUAUAUAGACAUUCUUUUUUUUGUAUUGUGUUAUUGACUGUAAGCUUGUUUAUUCCAUGUGUAACACUGUGUUAUUGUUUGUGUCGCACUGCUUUGCUUUAUAUUGGCCUGGUCGCAGUUGUAAAUGAGAAUUUGUUCUCAACUAGCCUACCUGGUUAAAUAAAGGGGAAAUAAAAAAAAAUAUAUAUCUUUUUUUAAUCACUGCAUUAAAUCUCUUCAAGUCAUUCUAUUUGAUUUAUUUAUUUAACCUUUAUUUAACUAGGCAAGUCAGUUAAGAACAAAUUCUUAUUUACAAUGGCGGCGUACCGGGGAACAGUGGGUUAACUGCCUUGUUCAGGGGCAGAACGACAGAUUUUUUACCUUGUCAGCUCGGGGAUUCAAUCCAGCAACAUUUCUACCCUUUCUAACCACUAGGCUAUCUGCCGCCUCUAUAACUCCAACCUAGCUAUGUAUUUGAGGUAUAUGGUUAUUUUAUGACUUGGGGUUGUUGGUUAUUGUUUUAAUAGACUUUACGUUACAUUACAGAAAGAAAGCACACUGCACCCAAAGGAAAUAUCUUAAGUUGACCGGAAGUGCUAUAGUGACUACUGUUAGCUCAAGGGACGAAGCACUCUUUACCUCUCCUCUAGUCACCCGCUACUUUAAACUCCUUGAUGUGACCCUAGUCAUACAAUUUAAAGCUUAAACCCAGACAAAUCUAUAGCUGUAAAAUAUGUUGUCUCCAGAUGGGCAGAGGUCAAGCAGACAGGGCAAAUGUUCACUAAUGGCCUGCUACAACGCUGCUGCAGAUGCUAUACCAUCCAGCGUCUUCUUCAAAGUGUCAGACCAAAUGUCUAACCUCAACUUAUUUGAUUCAGCUUACCCUGAUGAAGUGUUCCACUACUCAUCUGAAACUGGGGAUUUGGACAAAACAUUUUUCAAAGGGUGGUAUCAUUUAUUUAUUUUUUCCCCGUGAAGGACUGUCUGCAUUUAAGGCAAGUUCUCUAUAAUAAUUACUUUGAGUCUCGGAAUAUCCCGUGAUUAAUUUACACAAAAUUAAUAUAACAUCAUGUCACCAUUGUAUUGGUACAUGUUGAUCUUAUGAUUUACAGGUGGAAUCUGACGCCAGACCGGUGCUGCCUUGGUCGUUUCUGCCAGUUUCUCUGCCAUCAGAGUAUGUUGUGAAGAAAGAGGAGAAAUUAGAUGUGCAGUUUCCAAGAAAUCACAGCCGUGACUCCAUUGAGAGAUGGGAUGAGACUUCGGGUCCUGACUAUAUAUCGGAAGCGUUACAGGAGAUAACAGACGAUUCUUCAGACUUAUCAGAUGGCCCUGAUGAAUUGUUUGACAUCAAACAGAUUUAGAAUACGUUGACGAAGAAGAAGAGUUACCUGAAACUUCUCAAGCUGUGAGAGGAAAAGCAUCUUCAAAGUCACUGCUGCCAGAGAAACAGUCACCUCAUGGUGAAACAUUUUUAAUUGCACUAUUGGGCCCAAUCUAAGUGUCUAACCACAGAAACACAGGCUUGGUGGAUGAGUCUGGUGACAGCUCAGACUACGAGCCAUUGGUUAAGAUGAUCAGGAAGCCUCCAACAGACUGCCAGCUGAGCGAGAGAGUGAAGACACUGCUGAAAUACACAGACCUGGCGGAUGUGACAAUGAAGCACAUCUACAAUAGAGUGUUUGAGAUGUGCCCCCGGUAUAACCUGUCUAACAAGAAGGACAUCAUCAAGCAGACAGUGAAAGAGGGGAUUUCUUUACAACACAGGGUUUUAAUCAAGCCAUAUUCAUAGCUUUGACAGAUAACAUUAUAAUCAAUGAUCUCAGGAAAACAUAGUUGAUAUCGUGACAAAGACUCUGGGAUUCCUGUAUAUGCCUUUCCUGGACCUUUCAUUGAUAUUUUUUACAUACAUGUUCAGACUGUUUAAAUACUAUACAAUUUCAUACAAAUUAUUUGUUUUACUUGCCUAAGUUUUGUAAAUAAAGUAUUUAUUGUAGUGUA